rnacentral:lncRNA from 1 species
UCAGGGACCAAACCAUCUCGACGAUUAGGUCAACUCUUAACCUAAUCGGAUCAAACCCAACUGAAUCCAAUUCAAUUAGACUUGAUCCAAAAAUAAUUACUCAAUCAAAUUGAGUUAAUUAGCGAUCAAAUCACUAAUUAAAUCUCUCAUAAAUACUGAGUCUAAAUCCGAUGGGCAAUCAGGCAUCAAAAUUCAUCGAUAUGUAAUCCUGAUCGAAAAGUCCCAACCAGUGGGACUCUUGACCCCGGUACCCAUAAUAUGUGAAACUCAUGAUCAGAGAAUCCUGAU